CAGRUGUGUUAKAGCAGGGAUACCUCUAAAACGUGCAGGGCAGUGUGCCUUGAGGACCAGGGUUGAAAAACACUGUAGUAGACAAUAUCAAGCCUUUUUAGAAAUACCUAAAUCUCUGGAGUGUUUUAUAGUCAUGUAAAGAUGUUUUUAACAUGUUUCAGGUUGCAGGAGAGCAAAUAAAUUUGCCAAAUGAAUAGUUCCAAACCAUGUCUUUUCAUGUUACAUAACAUUUCAGAUGCAUAAACCAGCAGCAGGGCUUUGGCAGGAGCCGCUCUCUGAGCCUGCCUCAGCGGCUCAACUCGGCGCCGUCUCCUGGACUUUUAUCACCUGUCAGUACACCUGGAAUGCGGCCAUCUUUUUUGCCUAUGCAGAGGCAAACAUCCGUUCAGAACAAAGCCCACAAGCCGUUAUCGCCGUGGGAGGCAGCGUCAAGAAGCCCCCUCGGCUCCGUGGAUGAAGCCUUCGUGUUCCUCAACCCCCCGGCUUCUAGUUUUGUCACUGCAGGACACCAAACAACUCUGCCAGAGCCUCCAGACGACUGGAAGCGCAGGGUGUCUCUCGACCCGCCAGCUGGGACUAGGGGUCAUUAUCACCACUUGGCCCCAACGUUUCAGGCAAYGUCCACAAGCAGGAUGUUUUCUCCUGAGAAACCAGCUUUUUCAGGGCCUCCAUUUAAACCUGCUCAGCCUUUUAAACCUGCCAGUGCUGCAUUCAAAGGCACAAAGUUCAUUUAGUUUUUCCUCACCUGUAAAAUGCAGCUCAGACUUUAAGAAGACAUUAGUAUAUAUCAGAUCUAGAGACACAUUUUAUCAACAUGCAUGUAGUUUAUGGUGCUGAGAUUGAAGCAAAGUUUAUUUGACUGGUCAAAGCAAAGAUAAACGAURGAACAAAUCCUCAUGUUUUAAAUAGUUUGUGAUGCCUCAACACAAUMUGAUGUAAAGAAAACAACUUAUUGUAUGGCUUCAAGGAAAACAAAUGCAAAAAUGCUUGUGAAAGUUUUUGAUAAACAGAAAAGAACAAUGGGAAAAGUGAUUUCUUAGUUGGGUUCAAAUGGUGAAAAAGAAAGAUAGUUGUCUCAUAAAUCUUUUGGUUUUACAAAGACAUUUUGCACAACACAGAUUUUUAACAUAAAAUUUUUUUUUCAUAUUAUUCACCCUUUUGAACAGUCCUUUUCAAUAGUUUUUAAAAACGAUUUCAAAGUAAAAUUCCCAUAUUGAUUUAUUUGAUAUUAUUAAUGCAAGCUCCUUCGCUGUGACUCCUAACUUGCUAUGGAGAGAGUGCUGAAAACUCAUUGUUGCAGUUUGUUAUCUAAUAUCAGCCAACUUAAUUAUCUCUUGGACUUAUGUCUAUUUCCCUUCAGUUUAUCUGUGGUGCCUCACAUUGUUACAGACAAUUGAAGUUGCAAGUUGAUAAAGUUGUAAUUCUAACUACUAAACCACAUGUGAGAUUUCUGCAUGAACACAAACUUACUCAAAUGAUUGUACUGUACUGUAGAGUAGAAGGAAUGAUUGUUACAUUGUUGCAUACAUUGAUGCACUAUUGUGUGAUGUUUACCUGCUUCACACAACAUUUUUUAGAGUUUUUGUGUUAGGAUGUUUUAACACUGGGAUUUAACCCUGUGCAGAUUUUUGUUUAGAUGGUUUUCAGCACAAAAUAAAGUUUAAAUUACUUUUA